rnacentral:rRNA from 1 species
GACGAACGCUGGCGGCGUGCCUAAUACAUGCAAGUCGAGCGAAUUUAUGAGAGCUUGCUCUCAUAAGUUAGCGGCGGACGGGUGAGUAACACGUGGGCAACCUGCCUAUAAGACUGGGAUAACUUCGGGAAACCGGAGCUAAUACCGGAUAAUUCUUUUCUACACAUGUAGGGAAGCUGAAAGACGGUUUACGCUGUCACUUAUAGAUGGGCCCGCGGCGCAUUAGCUAGUUGGUGAGGUAACGGCUCACCAAGGCCACGAUGCGUAGCCGACCUGAGAGGGUGAUCGGCCACACUGGGACUGAGACACGGCCCAGACUCCUACGGGAGCAGCAGUAGGGAAUCUUCCGCAAUGGACGAAAGUCUGACGGAGCAACGCCGCGUGAGUGAUGAAGGUUUUCGGAUCGUAAAACUCUGUUGUUAGGGAAGAACAAGUACGAGAGUAACUGCUCGUACCUUGACGGUACCUAA